rnacentral:rRNA from 1 species
GAUGAACGCUGGCGGCGUGCCUAAUACAUGCAAGUCGAGCGAACAGAUGAGGAGCUUGCUCCUCUGACGUUAGCGGCGGACGGGUGAGUAACACGUGGAUAACCUACCUAUAAGACUGGGAUAACUUCGGGAAACCGGAGCUAAUACCGGAUAAUAUAUUGAACCGCAUGGUUCAAUAGUGAAAGACGGUUUUGCUGUCACUUAUAGAUGGAUCCGCGCCGCAUUAGCUAGUUGGUGAGGUAACGGCUUAGCAAGGCAACGAUGCGUAGCCGACCUGAGAGGGUGAUCGGACACACUGGAACUGAGACACGGUCCAGACUCCUACGGGAGGCAGCAGUAGGGAAUCUUCCGCAAUGGGCGAGAGCCUGACGGAGCAACGCCGCGUGAGUGAUGAAGGUCUUCGGAUCGUAAAACUCUGUUAUUAGGGAAGAACAAAUGUGUAAGUAACUAUGCACGUCUUGACGGUACCUAAUCAGAAAGCCACGGCUAACUACGUG